GCAUUAAUGGGGUAGUGGUAACCUGGGUCGUUGCCAAGUCGACAAAGUUUCGACCCGCCGGGGGUUCGAUUCCCUCUUAAUGCA